rnacentral:misc_RNA from 1 species
AAGUUUAAAUGCAAAUUUCAAUUGUUAAAUUUAUGGUUAAACAUAAUUUGAAUAAAUAUUAAAACAUCUUAAUUGUGUGCUUUAGUGGAAAAAGGGCAUUCCGAGGAAAGGAAUUAACAGGAGUGAAAUAAGAAAAGUUUGAUUACGAGAUAGGGAAAAGGACAUAGUAGAAGAGUGAGCUGCUACAGUAAUAGGGGAGCACAACUUGAAGAUUUUUGUACGAGUAUAUUAUUU